rnacentral:rRNA from 1 species
UACUGAGUUUACGCUCUAUAACCCUUUGUGAACAUACCUAUAACUGUUGCUUCGGCGGGUAGGGUCUCCGUGACCCUCCCGGCCUCCCGCCCCCGGGCGGGUCGGCGCCCGCCGGAGGAUAACCAAACUCUGAUUUAACGACGUUUCUUCUGAGUGGUACAAGCAAAUAAUCAAAACUUUUAACAACGGAUCUCUUGGUUCUGGCAUCGAUGAAGAACGCAGCGAAAUGCGAUAAGUAAUGUGAAUUGCAGAAUUCAGUGAAUCAUCGAAUCUUUGAACGCACAUUGCGCCCGCCAGCAUUCUGGCGGGCAUGCCUGUUCGAGCGUCAUUUCAACCCUCAAGCUCUGCUUGGUGUUGGGGCCCUACAGCUGAUGUAGGCCCUCAAAGGUAGUGGCGGACCCUCCCGGAGCCUCCUUUGCGUAGUAACUUUACGUCUCGCACUGGGAUCCGGAGGGACUCUUGCCGUAAAACCCCCAAUUUUCCAAAGGUUGACCUCGGAUCAGGUAGGAAUACCCGCUGAACUUAAGCAUAUCAAUAAGCGGAGGAAAAGAAACCAACAGGGAUUGCCUCAGUAACGGCGAGUGAAGC